CCUGCGAGACAGGACCACACCUCCGGCCCCAGCAGCGGCUCUAAAGGCCCUUCCCGGCAGCCACCCUGGCCCCGUGCUGAGGAGGUGUUGUGUCGGCCGGUCUGCCCUGUGCCUCAGGGGCCCUGUUUGCAAGGUUGGGGCUCUCAGGAUGACCAGGAGAAGGGGAAGGAGGCGGCUGCUGGAGCGGAGGGACGGAGGCCCCGGGAGAGGGCGGCCCCCACGCCCCAGGCUCACCGUGAGGCCAGCCAGGAGUGGCUCUGGGCCCACCACACAGCUGGGGACCUGGGUUGCUUCUGCUGUGAAGGAGGGUGACGGUGUCUGCUUCCCAGGUUGUGUGAGGCCAAGCUGGGCUCGUGUAAGUGCUGUGCUGGGAGCCAGGGGCGGGGCCCUUGCUCUUCCUCCUCCGAAUGGUAGGCCUAGUCCAGUGGCCCACACCCCCCAGGGCUGGGCUGGUGCUGAGGGUCCUUUCCCAUCAUUCUGAGGCUGCAGGUGGGAUUGAAGGCCGUGCCCCCUGGGGAAGGGGUCUGUGAUAAGAGGAAGGGUGUGGAAGGGAUGAUGAGGAGGCAGUGCGAACCCCCAUAGCCCGCCUGCUGCCCAGACCCCCGGGGUUGGCCCCACAACCCACCUUCCCCCUUCCAACACACACACCCAGUCUUUAGCCUGGAGCUUCUGGGUGAGCCUCCAUGCAGACCACAGCCUCUCAUACAACCACCAAUGUGCCCCAGGGGCCUCCAGUUGAGCCCAAGGGGACAAUACUGAGACCCCUUCCCGCAGGGCCCUCCCCUCCCUGUAGCUUGGGAGGUUGUGCCCGCGCCCCACCUGCUGCCAGCGCUGUGGGGACGCUUCCCGGCCUGCAUCCUCCACAGCUGCCUCUCAUUUCCUGCCUCCCGUGGCACCCCCGGCCUGGGGCGGGGAGGCAUCUCCCCUGACCCAGCUUCCUGGGCCCAGGAGACCGCCGCCGCGUGGUCUGGACAAGGAGCAGGGCCCAGCCCGCCGGGCCCUGGGCAUCUCUGUUCCACCAGCACCGGGCGCUGGAGCGCAGAGCAGGGCAGGGCCGCCUUCUCCAGGAGCCACGGGCACUGAGAGCCAGCAGUGGGGUGCUGCCGGGGCCCCCGGGGGCUCCUGGAUGGUUUGACGCCUGGGACAAACAAGAGGGUGUGGAGAGGCCAGCUGGAGGAAGACAGGACACUGUGCGGCGGGGACAGGCCGGAGGCGUGGCCAGCAGGCAGCGGGAGUGAGUUGGGGCUCUUGUGGCCCCCGGGGGCUUGGUUUAAUUGCACGAAGGGGUCGCAGUCAAAGUGGGUUCAGCCAGGCCCUCUGCCCUCAGUGAGGACAUGCUGAGUGGGCAGCAGUGGGGCAGGGGACCAGGCCUCCAUCCUUCUGAUAAACAAGUGGCCAGAACUGGGGCCCUGGCACAGGGUGCGGGACCAGGAAAAGCCCGCAGGAACCACGGAGCUGACUGGACGUCCUUGGCCUGGAAU
rnacentral:lncRNA from 1 species